UUUACAGAAUAAGGAGGGAACAGGUAGAUGUCAACUCACGUCAAUGGAGAGACUUCCACUGACUGCAGUGGCCUCCAGAUUGAGCUCCAAACAUUUCCUGCAGCAGCAAGAGUGAAACACUUCAGUGAGCAAUAUUGCUGGCAUACAGGCACAUCUGUGACACGCCACCACUGUUGUAUGAUACAAGAGCACGUAAUUAAACAGCCUGUAAAACUGACCUUCUUCAGUUAUUUUAAUAUUAAAAGAUAAAGAUAGAGAGUGUUUCUUAAAAACUGACAGUACUAUCAUUUCCUUACUGAGGUUACCCUAUUAAAAAAAAAUUAUAUAUAUAUAUAUUUAAGAUAAUUACACAUGAAAAAGCUGUUCAAAAAACUGAAAGCACAUUUCAGAUACGAGCUUCAUGUAUUGGUAAUGACACGAACCCCUAAUGCCAUAUUUGUUUGUAGGGACUAUGGUCACCUAGCAGGUGCCACAAAGGUCCUUCUUAUUGUAGCUUAGAUUCACAUCAAUUACUGCAAUGUACUGCAGUAAAUUUGUUCAUAGUACUUGGUCAUACAUGGGUGCAGGCUCAUUAGCUUUCAUCCCAUCGUAUGGAUGCUUUCGCAUGUGUAAGACAGCUCAAAAAUUCAGAGGACCAUAAUCUUUUGUUGAUAUGGUUUCCCCAACACUGAUAGCACAAGAUAACUGGAAUCUUAUUAAAAAUAUGAACUCUUGAAAAUAAACCACAUAUAGUGUGAGGUCUGGGCAUUCUGGGAGCAGAUUUUUCUACUGUUCCUAUGAAAAGGCUACAAUACAUAGCCAGCAGCAAAAGCAUUAGGCAGAAUGUGUUCCCGUUGAACUGAGGCUGGAUAUCUUAUUAAAAGAAAAGUCUUCUGAAGGAGCUUAUUUGUACAGAAGCUCAAGAUUUGGUCUGAAAAGGCUGCUUCAUGGGUUAACGUAUUCACCUAUAAAUAAAAGCAGUGACAGCUCUCCUGUCAGUACAUGCUGAUGGACGGUUCCUUUUUCCACCAUUACAGCCUUGUGAAUGUGGGAAAAUUAAUUUAAGUGGUAGUUAAUUUCUAAUGAAUUCCAUUCAAGCGGUUAAUAUGGUCCCUUGAUGUUAUGGUAACCUUCAUGGAUCAUUGCAUUAUGUAAAUAAAUUCUACUUUAUGCUGGUUUAUUAAAAAAAAAAAAAAAGAGAAAAAGAAAAAAAAGAUUGGUGAGUCCAGCCAAAUCUUUGCAUAUACAAACAUGCAUAGAAUUUCCUAAAAAAUCACUUAAAAUAGACUGCUCAAGAGGAGAAUGCAC
ensembl:lncRNA